CACACUCCCACUACAAAACAAAAAUUCCUUAUAAAAGCCAAGGCUGACCCAUAGUACUUCAGAUAUGCACGUCAAAAUGAAGACCAUAGCAGCGCUUACUACCUUCGUUAUUUGUACUUUUUUUUUGUGCAAAGGUGCGGAAGCCAAUGUUAAACAGUGUUAUUUCUGUGAAGAUAGGUGCGAUGAUCCUAUGAAAAUCGCAAAUUGUUCCAGCACAGAGGAAUACAACUGUAUUACGGUAGCAUUUUCACAAGGAGGUUUUGAAAUCGAAAGCAAAGGUUGUAUACCAGCUAAUAACAAUAAUGUGACAGUUCAAUGUGACGCCAUACAAGCACAAGAUGGAGGUCACUGUAAUAUCUGUGACGAAGAUUUGUGUAAUUCAGGAAACAUAUACACAUUUACUUUUGCUUUAUUAUCCGCAAUGAUAAUUCUUUGUAAAAUAUUGUAAAUUACUUCAUUAAUAAUAAUCUUAAAUAAAAUUAGUACAUAGAACAA